GUAAUAGCACUGCAUAGCAGAUGACCCGUGAACUUGUUUGUAAUUUGAGUGGGCAACGGGUCUCGCGAGAGCCCCGUUGUCCCCUCCAUGUUGCAUAGGUGUGGGCUUUGAGCUCACGCCAAAUGCAGCGCCGUAACGAACCCCGGCGUGAAAAACGCCAAGGAAGUUGAACAAAAGUGCACUCUACCAUAAGCAUCGAUCGUGAUGCAAAUGGUUGUUGUGCGAUCUUUUACUAUACAACGACUCUCGGCAACGGAUAUCUCGGCUCUCGCAUCGAUGAAGAACGUAGCGAAAUGUGAUACUUGGUGUGAAUUGCAGAAUCCCGUGAAUCAUCGAGUCUUUGAACGCAAGUUGCGCCCCAAGCCUUCGGGCCGAGGGCACGCCUGCCUGGGCGUCACGCAUUGUAGCCCCCCGACCAUUGUCUCUUAGAGUCAGAUGGGUUGUCGAGGUGGCGUAUGUUGGCCUCCCAUGAGCUGAUGCUUGUGGUUGGCCUAAACGCAAGUCUGAGGUAACAAUUUGCCAUGACUAUUGGUGGUUGAGAAGCCCUUUGAAAUAGUCAUGCUUGCUUGUUGAUGUAUCGAGACAUUCAAGACCCCCGAGUGUUGCCAAUGGUAACAAUCGCAUUGCGACCCCUCGUCAAGCGGGAUCUCCAGCUGAGUUUAGCAU
rnacentral:rRNA from 1 species